GGCCUGCUGGCCCAAUGGCAAGGCGCUUGACUACGAUUCAGUCGAAAUCAAGAGAUUGCAGGUUCGAUCCCUGCGUAGGUCA
rnacentral:tRNA from 1 species